UACGAAGGGGGCGAGCGUUGUUCGGAUUUACUGGGCGUAAAGGGCGCGCGGGCGGUUUUGCAAGUCAGGGGUGAAAGCCCGGGGCUCAACCUCGGAACGGCCCUUGAGACUGCAGAACUAGAGACCGGAAGAGGAGAGUGGAAUUCCCAGUGUAGAGGUGAAAUUCGUAGAUAUUGGGAAGAACACCAGUGGCGAAGGCGGCUCUCUGGUCCGGUACUGACGCUGAGGCGCGAAAGCGUGGGGAGCAAACAGGG
rnacentral:rRNA from 1 species